GAAAUAUGCAGUGCACGAAAUCGGGUGCAAUGACAACAAGUGAAAGUAAAAUAUUUAAGCCAGCAAAUCCAAUGACAACCAAACAGCCGGGGGAAGCAAACAAGAAAGUAUGAGCAUACUGGCUCUAAAAGGAGUCUGCCUGGGGAGAAAGCGGAGGCGGGCAGUGCCUACAAAGGAAGCCAAAUCCAGCAGGAGAAACCAGUGGUGGUGUACGGUGAAGAUGAGAACCAGGAGAGCAGUGCCAGAGAGGGGGCUCUGAAGAUCACACUGCACAUCCUGAGGAACAUGAACCAGAAAGAGCUCACUGACACACUGGAGAACAAUCUUUUAGGUGAGCUUGCUGAGUGUCAACCUAAACUCAACUUUAACAAAAGGAAGUUUGAAUGAGUGUUUGAAGGAAUGGCUACACAAGGAAACCCAACACUUCUCAAUCAGAUCUACACCGAGCUCUACAUUCACAGAGGGUGGAAGUGGAGAGGGCAUUAAUGAACAUGAGAUGCCUGUGAGCCAACACUGGACGCAAACACGGCACACAGAAAACUCUGUCAGAGGGGAACAUGGGGGAGAGAAGAGCAGCCGUAUCCUGAUCACCCAGAGAGAUGUGAGGGCUGUUGGCAGGUGCUGUGUAAAGAGGGUCUGAAUAGGCGCAGUUAUUGGGAGUCGGAUCGAAGAGGAAAUGGGAGUGACAGAGAAACAUCGGCAGGAGUGGAGAGUGACUGUUGGCUUCGACGUAAUGACAAGUCCUGGAGUUUGCGAUGCUUUGACAACAGUUACAUCGCCUUCCAUAAUGCUAGGAGUAUUGCUUUACCUGCUCCCUCGUCUUAUUCGAACAGAGUAGGAGUGCAUCUGGACUGGCUGGCACUCUGUCCUCCUACAGUGUCUCCUCUGGUACACUGAACAAUUCGCAUACAUUCUACUCCACAUUUUCUAACCCUCUUUACCCAGGGUUUAGGGUUGGGAAUGAUGACAGUGUGCCUGUGUCAGGUAGAGCAGCCUCCAAUUUGAAACUCAGGCCAGAAUUCCAUCUAGUUGUUUUUGGCAUUGCGGUGUUAGAAGUAUGUUCACGUUGCAGUGCAACGGUUUCGCUCCAGACUUGAUACUCGAUUUAGAACCUGGUUUUAGUGGAAGCCCUGGUAGGAUGUCGAGUUACCCACCCUCCCUUCUAUUUUUAUCUUGAUAAUUCAUUGCAGUCACGCAGAUUUUAAAUCUGUGACACACUGCUGUGCAAAUCAAACAAUUUCGGUGACCUUAAAUAAAAUGGCAUUUCUUUUUCUUUUCUACUCUGCUUCACCUACAGCAAACAACAUUUUUGGUUUUGUUGAAUUUAGGAGUUAAGCAUCCUGAGUGAGAGAAUGUGUUUUAUCUGGAAUAAAAAUCUAAGAUGUGUCCAGAUCACAGCCUUAAACACCACUUGUAAUUUAGGAAAUAUGUGUUUAACAUUAAUGUAGGCUAAUUGAGUUAUAAAUCACAUACUAUAGCCAGAUCUCCAGGCCAUUGAACUUCUGUUACCUGGUCUCAGAGCCACAAACCAUUUUAUGUAGUGAAAGUGUCUGGAUGAAAAAUGCUGUUGAGGAGAAUGUGACAGUUUUGGCUGAGAGACCACUGAAAAUGUUAUCCCGCGAGAUAGUGAUGCGAUAAAUACAUGUAAGUAACUACUACCGUCCCAAGAUGAGUGGCGGUUAUGACAUCAGCAGCACUAUCUAUUAUGCAUCCUCGUCGGAUAAAGAGUACUUCCCCUAAAUUUGGGUAGGAAAAAUGUACUUUACUUGCCCAUAUACUACACAGAGCGGGGAAAAAAAUAAAAUAAAAGUAUGGCAUUGCCCCAGAUAUUCUGUAUUUCACACAAUAAUCCUACAGUAAAAUCAUAAUCAAUACUCAGUCUGCCUGUACUUUAAUAUAUUCUUUAUUUUCUUAAACAAAAUUGAAGUAAAAACCUUUAUGUAGAAAGACAAAUUCCCUGUCAGUAGCGUUCUUGAUUUAGGGCCUCCAGUAGACUCCAGUCUAUUGGGUGGUUCUUUUCUACUGUGUGAGUCAACGUAAGAAUAUUACACCACAGAGUGAGUACCAUCUCUAACUCCCUACUAGCUCAUGAAUUAACUCACUAACUUGUGAAUUAACUCAUGCAGACUUUCGAGAAACACAGUGGGAAGAAUGUUAACAGCAAAUAGUGUUAAAAGAAAGUUAAAAACAGCAGUGUCCAUUACAAAGGCUGAAGAAAGAAAGCAAACAUGUGAGCAGGUGAGCUGUAUAGUACACAUCGUUGUCCAGUCACCUCUGGCAGUGUUUUCAACUAGUAUUGAAAAUUGGGGGGAAAGAAAAGAAAAAAGGAAUCUACAUGAUUAUCGUCACAAAAUAAAAUCUCUUUGGCAUAGAUUACCCACCCGAAAAGCGCACACAACAUUAAAACGUACUUGACUAAAAACCUGUGCAUCAUCAUCAUUCUUAGAAAACAGAAGGUAAGCCCUGUUAGAUUCUGAGCCCCAGUCAGUGAUAAUUGCAUAUACUACAUCGAGGUGAGCAGAGACAGAUUGACAUCACUCCAUUUGAAGAUUCACUGUGAUUUCUCCUCUUCCUCUGCCACGCCCCCGCUUCUCUCCUCUUCUUCUGCCCCCCCCCCGCUUCUCUCCUUUUCUGCUGCUCCCCCCAUCUCUCCUCUCAUCCCUUCAGUGCCUGUCGAGAGAACAGCAUC